UACAGAGGGGGCAAGCGUUGUUCGGAAUUACUGGGCGUAAAGGGCGCGUAGGCGGCCUUCUAAGUCGAACGUGAAAUCCCCGGGCUCAACCCGGGAACUGCGUCCGAUACUGGAAGGCUUGAAUCCGGGAGAGGAUGUGGAAUUCCAGGUGUAGCGGUGAAAUGCGUAGAUAUCUGGAGGAACACCGGUGGCGAAGGCGGGUCUCUGGGCAGUAACUGACGCUGAGGAGCGAAAGCGUGGGGAGCGAACAGG
rnacentral:rRNA from 1 species